CGGUUGGGGUUAGGAGGGAGAGGAUAUAGAAUUGGAUGUCCUCGGGGAAAUCAACAAAGGAAUAUGAAUUCAUUUCUGCCAUCUGAAAAGUCCACUGAUUUUCUGGAAAAUGCUGUUUGUUUGAAGGAAGAGAGAGAGAGAAAGAGAGAGAAUGUUUGAAGCCUGUGAAAAUCAAGUGAGGAAUAAAACGAAACAAGGGAAAAUUUGAAUAAUGGUAGAUUCUUGGAGAAGAGGGAAUUAUUCUGUUCAGCUAAGCGAACCUAUAGAGAAGGAAGAAAUCAGAAAUCUGAGAGAUUAAGCCGUACAAGCUUCCAAGUCAGGACUGGG
rnacentral:misc_RNA from 1 species